rnacentral:rRNA from 1 species
AUACGUAGGUCCCGAACGUUGCGCGAAAUUACUGGGCGUAAAGGGUCCGUAGGCGGUCUGGUAAGUGGAAGGUGAAAGCCUGGGGCUCAACUCCAGAAUUGCCUUCCAAACUGCCGGACUUGAGGCAGGGAGAGGUCGGCGGAAUUCCCGGUGUAGUGGUGAAAUGCGUAGAUAUCGGGAGGAACACCAGUGGCGAAGGCGGCCGACUGGAACUGUCCUGACGCUGAGGGACGAAAGCCAGGGGAGCGAACCGGAUUAGGUACCCGUGUAGUCC